UACGGAGGGUGCAAGCGUUGUUCGGAAUUAUUGGGCGUAAAGCGCGCGCAGGCGGUCGAAAAAGUCUAUGGGUAAAAGGCCGGGGCUCAACCCCGUGUACGCCCAGGAUACUGUUCGACUGGAGACACGUAGAGGCAAGCGGAAUUCCGGGUGUGAGCGGUGGAAUGCGCAGAUAUCGGGAGGAACACCGGUGGCGAAGGCGGCUUGCUGGGCCAGUUCUGACGCUGAGGAGCGAAAGCGUGGGGAGCGAACAGG
rnacentral:rRNA from 1 species